GGCGAUGGGUGAUUAUCUCCAGGAACACCGAGUCAUGAGGGAGAUCCUGCUGCUCCAGGUGGCUGCAAAGAAUUACAACCAGAGCCCGAGGACCGAUUUGGGGCCUGGUUCCAGGACAUGGAGCUGCUCAAUGAGAAUGAUAGCUACAGCCUGUCCUGCCAGCUAAGGCCCCAGGCCUAGUUGGCCAGCAGAAUACUCAAGGCCAAGAAGAACCGGCUGUCAUCAAGGUCAGGGGUGAGUGAGUGUCUGGGCCGGGGUGACUGACUCCUAGGGGUUCAGUAAGGCUUUC